AUGAACGCUAGCUACAGGCUUAACACAUGCAAGUCGAGGGGCAGCAUGGUCUUAGCUUGCUAAGGCCGAUGGCGACCGGCGCACGGGUGAGUAACACGUAUCCAACCUGCCGUCUACUCUUGGACAGCCUUCUGAAAGGAAGAUUAAUACAAGAUGGCAUCAUGAGUCCGCAUGUUCACAUGAUUAAAGGUAUUCCGGUAGACGAUGGGGAUGCGUUCCAUUAGAUAGUAGGCGGGGUAACGGCCCACAUAGUCUUCGAUGGAUAGGGGUUCUGAGAGGAAGGUCCCCCACAUUGGAACUGAGACACGGUCCAAACUCCUACGGGAGGCAGCAGUGAGGAAUAUUGGUCAAUGGGCGAGAGCCUGAACCAGCCAAGUAGCGUGAAGGAUGACUGCCCUAUGGGUUGUAAACUUCUUUUAUAAAGGAAUAAAGUCGGGUAUGGAUACCCGUUUGCAUGUACUUUAUGAAUAAGGAUCGGCUAACUCCGUGCCAGCAGCCGCGGUAAUACGGAGGAUCCGAGCGUUAUCCGGAUUUAUUGGGUUUAAAGGGAGCGUAGAUGGAUGUUUAAGUCAGUUGUGAAAGUUUGCGGCUCAACCGUAAAAUUGCAGUUGAUACUGGAUAUCUUGAGUGCAGUUGAGGCAGGCGGAAUUCGUGGUGUAGCGGUGAAAUGCUUAGAUAUCACGAAGAACUCCGAUUGCGAAGGCAGCCUGCUAAGCUGCAACUGACAUUGAGGCUCGAAAGUGUGGGUAUCAAACAGGAUUAGAUACCCUGGUAGUCCACACGGUAAACGAUGAAUACUCGCUGUUUGCGAUAUACUGCAAGCGGCCAAGCGAAAGCGUUAAGUAUUCCACCUGGGGAGUACGCCGGCAACGGUGAAACUCAAAGGAAUUGACGGGGGCCCGCACAAGCGGAGGAACAUGUGGUUUAAUUCGAUGAUACGCGAGGAACCUUACCCGGGCUUAAAUUGCAGAUGAAUUACGGUGAAAGCCGUAAGCCGCAAGGCAUCUGUGAAGGUGCUGCAUGGUUGUCGUCAGCUCGUGCCGUGAGGUGUCGGCUUAAGUGCCAUAACGAGCGCAACCCUUGUUGUCAGUUACUAACAGGUUCCGCUGAGGACUCUGACAAGACUGCCAUCGUAAGAUGUGAGGAAGGUGGGGAUGACGUCAAAUCAGCACGGCCCUUACGUCCGGGGCUACACACGUGUUACAAUGGGGGGUACAGAGGGCCGCUACCACGCGAGUGGAUGCCAAUCCCCAAAACCUCUCUCAGUUCGGACUGGAGUCUGCAACCCGACUCCACGAAGCUGGAUUCGCUAGUAAUCGCGCAUCAGCCACGGCGCGGUGAAUACGUUCCCGGGCCUUGUACACACCGCCCGUCAAGCCAUGGGAGCCGGGGGUACCUGAAGUGCGUAACCGCGAGGAGCGCCCUAGGGUAAAACUGGUGACUGGGGCU
rnacentral:rRNA from 1 species